rnacentral:rRNA from 1 species
AUCAUUACACAAUAACCAGGCGGGCUGGACACCCCCUGCUGGGCACUGCUUCACGGCGUGCGCGGCGGGGCCGGCCCUGCUGAAUUAUUCACCCGUGUCUUUUGCGUACUUCUUGUUUCCUGGGUGGGCUCGCCCGCCCUCAGGACCAACCACAAACCUUUUGCAAUAGCAAUCAGCGUCAGUAACAACGUAAUUAAUUACAACUUUCAACAACGGAUCUCUUGGUUCUGGCAUCGAUGAAGAACGCAGCGAAAUGCGAUACGUAGUGUGAAUUGCAGAAUUCAGUGAAUCAUCGAAUCUUUGAACGCACAUUGCGCCCUUUGGUAUUCCAAAGGGCAUGCCUGUUCGAGCGUCAUUUGUACCCUCAAGCUUUGCUUGGUGUUGGGCGUCUUUUGUCUCCAGUUCGCUGGAGACUCGCCUUAAAGUCAUUGGCAGCCGGCCUACUGGUUUCGGAGCGCAGCACAAGUCGCGCUCUUCGCCAGCCAAGGUCAGCGUCCAGCAAGCCUUUUUUUCAACCUUUGA